GACGAACGCUGGCGGCGUGCUUAACACAUGCAAGUCGAACGGAAAGGCCCUGCUUUUGUGGGGUGCUCGAGUGGCGAACGGGUGAGUAACACGUGAGUAACCUGCCCUUGACUUUGGGAUAACUUCAGGAAACUGGGGCUAAUACCGGAUAGGAGCUCCUACUGCAUGGUGGGGGUUGGAAAGUUUCGGCGGUUGGGGAUGGACUCGCGGCUUAUCAGCUUGUUGGUGGGGUAGUGGCUUACCAAGGCUUUGACGGGUAGCCGGCCUGAGAGGGUGACCGGCCACAUUGGGACUGAGAUACGGCCCAGACUCCUACGGGAGGCAGCAGUGGGGAAUAUUGCACAAUGGGUGGAAGCCUGAUGCAGCAACGCCGCGUGCGGGAUGACGGCCUUCGGGUUGUAAACCGCUUUCGCCUGUGACGAAGCGUGAGUGACGGUAAUGGGUAAAGAAGCACCGGCUAACUACGUG
rnacentral:rRNA from 1 species